AUCACCUGAUCCUCAUUUUUGCACCAUCAUCAAACCAGUCACCGGUCACCCGUCUGUCACCCCAAUCCUCAUCUUCGCACCAUCAUUGAACUUUUUAUUUAACCUUUCACGCAGGCCUUGCCUCUUCUUCUUCUUCGAAGAAGGAAACGAUCUUCGUUUUCUUCUUUGACGAUUCUAGGGUUCCUAGUCGUCAUCUUGGUUUCGAUUUGGAUCUUGAUUCUUGGAUUCCUCUCAUGCUGGUUCUCUUGAAUCUUUGAGGUAUUCUAGGGUUUUCAUUUUGAGGUAACAUGCUGCUGCUUCUACUCGGGUGUUCAUUGAUGAAGGAGUGGAGCAAUGACGAAGGAGAGGCGCGGGAGAACCCAUUGCUAUUUGAACGUAUGUGAUUUAACACCGAUUAAUAACUACCUUUAUUGGUCUGGCCUCGACAUCUUCCACUCUGGGAUCGAAGGCACUAUCUAAGCGAAUCCAUUACUGCAAAUUUGUCACAGAGGCGAAAUUCCGUGAAAAUCCUUCAGCCUAUGAAACUGCCAUCAAAUCUCAAGAUCUUGGCUUGCUUAUGAAGAUGUAAACAUAUGAAUAAGUGGUAAACCACAAUCAAAACAGCGGGUAGAAACCAAGGCUAAAGUCUUCAGCCAGGAAGUCGUGAUGACUUAGAACGGGAACUGCGUGCCACCGAUUUACAAAAUCGAACUUGACAUCAUUGUCGAGCUCUACGGUGUCUGGAUAAUGCCAUUAACCAAGCAAGUUCAAGUACAGUAACUACUGAGGAGGUUUGGACUGAGAAAAUCACAGCCUGCUAGCACACACAUGCCUGUAAAAGCAUAAAACUGAAGUUGGUUGUUAAAAUGCUUGUAGCAGAAACAUUGAGAUUAGAAAGAGAAUUGAACUCUGCAUUGAAGG